AAGCGUGCGCAGGCGGUUUUGUAAGACUGUCGUGAAAUCCCCGGGCUCAACCUGGGAAUGGCGAUGGUGACUGCAAGGCUAGAGUUUGGCGAGAGGGGGGUAGAAUUCCACGUGUAGCAGUGAAAUGCGUAGAUAUGUGGAGGAACACCGAUGGCGAAGGCAGCCCCCUGGGUCAAAACUGACGCUCAUGCACGAAAGCGUGGGGAGCAAACAGGAUUAGAUACCCGUGU
rnacentral:rRNA from 1 species